rnacentral:rRNA from 1 species
GAUACGGGACUCAUCCGAGGCCCCGUAAUCGGAAUGAGCACACUUUAAAUCCUUUAACGAGUAUCCAUUGGAGGGCAAGUCUGGUGCCAGCAGCCGCGGUAAUUCCAGCUCCAAUAGCGUAUAUUAAAGUUGUUGCGGUUAAAAAGCUCGUAGUUGGACUUGUGUCCCACGCUGUCGGUUCACCGCCCGUCGGUGUCUAACUGGCAUGGUUCGUGGGACGUCCUGCCGGUGGUGGCGAGUCGAAGGAGCGCGCCCGUCGUGGUUCACGCCGCGAUCGAGGUUGCGGUCCGGAGACGGACCCCGAUGAAAUCCUACCGCGGUGCUCUUCACCGAGUGUCGAGGUGGGCCGGCACGUUUACUUUGAACAAAUUAGAGUGCUUAAAGCAGGCCUGUUGCGCCUGAAUACUGUGUGCAUGGAAUAAUGGAAUAGGACCUCGGUUCUAUUUUGUUGGUUUUCGGAACCCGAGGUAAUGAUUAAUAGGGACAGUCGGGGGCAUUCGUAUUGCGACGUUAGAGGUGAAAUUCUUGGAUCGUCGCAAGACGGACCGAAGCGAAAGCAUUUGCCAAGUAUGUUUUCAUUAAUCAAGAACGAAAGUUAGAGGUUCGAAGGCGAUCAGAUACCGCCCUAGUUCUAACCAUAAACGAUGCCAGCUAGCGAUCCGCCGAAGUUCCUCCGAUGACUCGGCGGGCAGCUCCCGGGAAACCAAAGCUUUUGGGUUCCGGGGGAAGUAUGGUUGCAAAGCUGAAACUUAAAGGAAUUGACGGAAGGGCACCACCAGGAGUGGAGCCUGCGGCUUAAUUUGACUCAACACGG